CGGGGCGUGGGUCACGGUGUGCAGGACCUCGCCGAUGACGAUGGUGUGAUCACCGGCCGGUACGAGCCGGUCGACCCGGC
rnacentral:tRNA from 2 species